rnacentral:rRNA from 1 species
UACGGAAGGCAGCAGUGGGGAAUAUUGCACAAUGGGCGAAAGCCUGAUGCAGCUAUGCCGCGUGUAUGAAGAAGGCCUUAGGGUUGUAAAGUACUUUCAUCGGGGAGGAAAAACCAAAACUAAUAAUUUUAUUUCUUGACGUUACCCGAAAAAGAAGCACCGGCUAACUCCGUGCCAGCAGCCGCGGUAAUACGGAGGGUGCUAGCGUUAAUCAGAAUUACUGGGCGUAAAGAGCACGUAGGUGGUUUUUUUAAAGUCAGAUGUGAAAUCCCUGGGCUUAACCUAGGAACUGCAUUUUGAAACUGAAAUACUAGAGUAUCGUAGAGGGAGGUAGAAUUCUAGGUGUAGCGGUGAAAUGCGUAGAUAUCUGGAGGAAUACCUGUGGCGAAAGCGACCUCCUAAACGAAUACUGACACUGAGGUGCGAAAGCGUGGGGAGCAAACAGGGAUUAGAUACC